rnacentral:rRNA from 1 species
GACGAACGCUGGCGGCGUGCUUAACACAUGCAAGUCGAACGGAAAGGCCCUGCUUUUGUGGGGUGCUCGAGUGGCGAACGGGUGAGUAACACGUGAGUAACCUGCCCUUGACUUUGGGAUAACUUCAGGAAACUGGGGCUAAUACCGGAUAGGAGCUCCUGCUGCAUGGUGGGGGUUGGAAAGUUUCGGCGGUUGGGGAUGGACUCGCGGCUUAUCAGCUUGUUGGUGGGGUAGUGGCUUACCAAGGCUUUGACGGGUAGCCGGCCUGAGAGGGUGACCGGCCACAUUGGGACUGAGAUACGGCCCAGACUCCUACGGGAGACAGCAGUGGGGAAUAUUGCACAAUGGGCGGAAGCCUGAUGCAGCAACGCCGCGGGCGGGAUGACGGCCUUCGGGUUGUAAACCGCUUUCGCCUGUGACGAAGCGUGAGUGACGGUAAUGGGUAAAGAAGCACCGGCUAACUACGUG